CGGAUACCCCCAUCAUCAGUUUCCAUAGCUGCUGAAGGCCUGGAUUGUGUCAUCCAUCCCUGCAGGAUGUUCACAUUUGUCCUGAGGAAGGCUGUCGCAGACAGAGAGGAACAGAUGGAGGUGGACACACAGAUUGAUAUGGAGGAGGAGAUGGAAGUGGAUGGAGAACACACUGAAGAGGAAGAGAUGGAGGUGGAUGUGGAAGAGGAGAUGGAUGUGGAAAUGGAAGAAUACACUGAGGACAUGGACACUGAUGAACAAGAUGAAGAGGAGGCCAUGGUCCUGGGAUGAAGACCGAUGCCAGCAGCAGGACAGGACUGAUGGGGAUCCCGCACAGAGACGGCACCCUUUUGUACAUAGUUUUAGAGUUUGUUGUUGCCUUUAGGAUAUAGGUUUUAGGGCUUCGUUUUGUCUUCUGUAAAUACGUUUCAAAUAUUGUUGUUAGAUAUGUUCUUAGGUAUAUACGUUCAAUAAAUUGUUGUUAUUACAAAUA